AUAAAAAAAGAUUUAAUAUUAUAUAUAAUAAUUAUAUUAUAUAAUAUAUAAUAUUAUAUUAUUCGUGAAAAAUACUUUGAAAAUGUGGUUUUUUCCACUCAAAAUUUUCAAUCACUUUCCAAUUGUGAGUAACUAAAAAACUAUUGAUUUCUCGAAAAAAUUCCUCAAACAUUUUCUUUCAGAAUUUAAUUCUCUAUCGAUUUCUGGCGUUAUUUUUUAUAAAUAUUUUUCACCCCUGAGAAGGGGUGUCAAUCCCCAACAGCAUCAAUCGGCGCUAUGUAACUAAUGAUUAUUGACCUUUUCUCUAACUAUGGGCCAAAUUUCAAGUAAUUCGAUUCUGUUUCAAAAAAUUCGAGGGUGAAAAACUUCACUGACUGCACUAAACAUGCAUGAUGGGAAUAUUGACGAUCCGACCGUGAGAACAGUAACAAAAACCUUGAAGCAAAUAUGGUGGACAUUAUCAAGUUUAACAUUAGUAUAAAAGAAGAAAUACGAGAAGUUGAUAAGUUAACACGUAUUAAAGGUACUACAACGUCUUCUGUCAAUAAUUAGUAAUCAGAAAUUAUUAUCCAACAGUAGCCGAACAACUGGUUCCACUUCUUUCAAGCAAAUAUUACUUCAGAGUUUAUAUAAUAAUUAUUGAGAAGACCAUGGAUAGUGGAACCCUAAAAAUACGGGCCAUGUUAAACUGGGUCACCAAAAACAAAAUUAUAAAAAAUAAGGUGAGCGUGACGGUUACACUAAAAAAGCAAGGGCGGAUCCAGGGUCUUGACAAAGGGGGGUCAUUAGUAUUAGGACGUUUCCUCCCCCAAAGACAUAGCAUUUUAAGCCUUUUGCCCACAAAAUAUAAAUUAUGUUGUUUUUGACAUUUAUAUUAAGUAAUCGAUGUCAGAUUCUUCUACUUCUUAGUCUUGAAUUUCCUGAGCAUUUUAUUUUCGUUUUAUUAGGUAUUGGUUCAAUAUUCGAAAUAUUUGGAGGUAUUCGCUCCCCUAUCCACGGUGUAAAAUAAUUCGUACUUUUACAUAUUCCUACUUAAGCCCUUUUAUAAGAAACAAAAAACCAAGUUAAUUAGUCAGGGUUUAGGGGGAGAUCAUAACCCCCAUGGAUCUGUGCUUGUAAAAAAGAGGAUUCAUUGUACCAGAUUUCAUAAAUACACGAUCCAGAGUAACAUAUUUACAUUCUAUUCUCGUGGGUCGUUUUUCGAACUGAACGCCUAAGGUUACUUGUUAACAUAGUACCAAAAAAUUUAUCGUAUGGACAAGAUUUCCGAUGAACUCAAUAAAAAUUUUACCGCAAAUGAUUUCAAAUGGGUAAUUACGUUUUUUUGUGGAUCUUCGUUGUACUACAGCCACGUUUUCUGUUCCAUAGAAAACCGAAAGUCGCCGAGUGCUAAUUCAGGACUAUACAGCGAAUUAUCAAAAGUUCAAAUAGUUCGGGGAACCGUUUGUUUGUACCAGUAGUGUGUUAACGAGCGUCGUCUUGGAUUAGGUUUCGUCCCCUGUGUAACAAAAUCUGCACGUCGUAUUAUCUGCUAGGUCCUGCGUCUUCAGGUUUUUGGUGAGGCGACGAUGAAACUCCCGUUAGUAUAUUUAUAAAUUGUUCUUACUUAGCAGAUCUACUCUGGUUAUACUUUCCCAGAAGAGUUUUUGCCUAUCUCAACCCCUGUAGGUUGUCCCAAUAAUUGGUUUUGCUCUUAUACACCUUCUUUUCCCGUGCUUUUUCCAUUGUUCUAUAAGUGAUACCACAGAAGGGUUCAGGUCCCAUAAAGAGCUUAUCUGUCCCCGGUUUAGCAAGCUUAUCAGCUAUAUAUUUCCUUUCGUUCCGGUGUGUCGCGGAAUCCAUUGUAAGGUAAUUUUAUUUUUAUAGGUGAGUUUGGAUUUCAUGAUAUUGGAGCUUAGAGUUUUAAUCGCUGCUUCACUAUCGGACAGGAUAAUGAUCUCCUGUUUGCGAUAGUUCCACUCUAGAUUGAACUGAACACAUUUUUUCAAUUGCUGAUACUCCAGACUUUGAAUUUGUUCCAUGAUUGUUCAAUUUGUACUUUGCCUUUCUAUCAUUACUGUUUAAAUUUUAGAUUUUUUUGACAAUUAGUACUUUUUUCGCCUCUGGCUCUAUUUCUUUCAAUCUUUUUAUUCAUAAUCUGUCUCAAAUAUGGUAUUUUUCUAUUUAUGCGAACAACGAGAUAACUAACGUAAUUUGCGCAGGCGUCCCAAGUACACGCACAAUAAACCGUCUGUGUCGCUCGAAUGAAUUAGGUUAAUCAACGAAUAUCCACUUUUCUUCUAUUAAUAAUGAUUUCAAGUUGUGGAGUUUAUUUUCUCAUAUAUUUACAUACAUAUUCAUUUAAGUUAUUAUUAAUUUAAUUAUUGUUAAUCCGUUUAAAAUACGAGAUCUAAUAGCUAUUAACUGAAUCCUAUUAUACAACAUCAAAAUGAACCGUGAACUUGGAAAAUCUGAAUGACAUUGAAUUAUGUUCAUGUGUGUGUGUGUUGUGUAUAUUUUAUCAAAUCGUUUCUAGGAAUCGCGUGUUAUGUGCGGUUUUUUUAUGACGACAAUAUACACACUCAAUUUUAUUGGUAAUUUGAAUGUAUAAUAUUUCUGACGUUUUCUAUGUAACUAUUUGUUAUCUGAGCUGAACUGAAUUGUUUUUACAGGUGAGAUUCUUCAACAAACUAAUUUUUAUAGGUAUUUACAACUAUAAUCAUCUUCCAAUAUAACGCUGAAAAUUUAAAAAAAUGUCAUACUAUGAGCCCAUAUUUCCAAACCAUCGUGCCGACGAGGUUUUUUUGAAGAGUUUUUAUAUUAAGAUGGUUAUUAUUUACGACAAUAGAUAAGAAACAACAACAAACAGCUGAAUGGUCUGUUUAUAGGCUUCAAUAUAGUAAAAAUGAGCUUGUAAAAGAAAUGAUAUUUGAAGUUACCAUACCACAAAUAAUCAGCGACAUCAUGAGAAGACUGGAAGUCAAAUCCUACUAAGACCGAACUAAUUAUGUUCACCAAAAAAUGUAAGUUCACGAAACCAUAAUGAGAAUCGACUAUCAAAAGAAGAUAUAUAAGUUCCAUGGAAAAGGAAUACUGUGGAAAGAAUGAAAAAAGGAAUCAACGCUUUCUGUACUUGUAGGAAGAUAUUUGGUAAAAAAUGGGGACUACAACGAAGCAGUCAUAAGAAGUAAAGACUGUAAGACUGUAAAGCAGAGUUCUUUCUAAACAUGUAACGAGAAGAGAAAUUGCCAAAGAGACAGACUGUCUCAGACAGUAACACUGCUACUAUCGAUAGAAUUGUUGAAAUAUGAACAGAAACAAAAGUGAUUGCACGAUAUCCAGAGCGAUUUAGACAAGAAUUAAUGAAGAAAAUACAAAAACGGUAAUAAGUUCACGUAACAAUCAAUCCAGAAAACCAUUGGAGUGAUCAAUGGACAUUCUACUGUUGGGACCAGGUUCCAGAAAUGGGGGGUGACUAUUGUAUAAAGGAGAAGAAGAGUCAAUCUAACAUAUCAUCUGCCGAUGUCCCUCCUUGCCGGAUAAACGACGUCAAAUGAUGGAGACGAUACAAUAGAAUGCUUCGAAAAAAUAGAAAAAGUGAAAAACACGACAAACUGAAAUCAAAGUUGUCCGUACUAACCUAACUCAACCUUGACGUUACUAAGAAGCUCACGCGUUUUAAAAAUGGCACGUGGUAUAAAAUUGUUUCUGAAGAAUCAAGAAUAGUGAUUAUUAAUUUCCAUUUAAAAGGUCAACAGCAUUAAUUAGUCAAGGUAUACCGUUCAUAACAAUGUUAAAUUAUACAAAAUAACAAAAA